rnacentral:misc_RNA from 1 species
GAUGAAGAACGCAGCGAAAUGCGAUAAGUAAUGUGAAUUGCAGAAUUCAGUGAAUCAUCGAAUCUUUGAACGCACCUUGCGCCCUUUGGCCAUUCCGAAGGGCAUGCCUGUUUGAGUAUCAUGAACACCACAACUCUCAUGGCUCGCCAUGAUGAGCUUGGAUUUGGGGGUCUUGCUGGCCUGUGGUCGGCUCCUCUCAAAUGGAUCAGCUUGCCAGUGUUUGGUGGCAUCACAGGUGUGAUAACUAUCUGCGCUUGUGGUUUUCCAUCAGAUAACCUUCAGUGAUGGAGGUUCGCUGGAGCUCAUAAACGUCUCCCCUAAGCGGGGACAGCCCUUUGAAUGUUUGAUCUCAAAUCAGGUAGGACUACCCGCUGAACUUAAGCAUAUCAAUAAGCGGAGGA